rnacentral:rRNA from 1 species
UACGUAGGGUGCGAGCGUUAAUCGGAAUUACUGGGCGUAAAGCGUGCGCAGGCGGUUUUGUAAGACAGCUGUGAAAUCCCCGGGCUUAACCUGGGAACUGCGGUUGUGACUGCAAGACUGGAGUCAGGCAGAGGGGGGUGGAAUUCCACGUGUAGCAGUGAAAUGCGUAGAGAUGCGGAGGAACACCGAUGGCGAAGGCAGCCCCCUGGGCUGACACUGACGCUCAGGCACGAAAGCGUGGGGAGCAAACAGG